rfam:Aedes albopictus isolate Foshan contig102040, whole genome shotgun sequence.
GACUCCGUAGCUUGAAGUAAUAGAAGCGCCCGUCUAGCGAAUUGGAAGUCGUGAGUUCGAGUCUCACCGGAGUAC